rnacentral:rRNA from 1 species
ACCAAUCGGGAUUGCCUCAGUAACGGCGAGUGAAGCGGCAACAGCUCAAAUUUGAAAGCCCGCGGGCGUUGUAAUUUGCAGGCGGAUGUUUUGGGGCGGGCGCUGUCUACGUUCCUUGGAACAGGACGCCGCAGAGGGUGAGAGCCCCGUGCGAUGGCGCCUUUAACCGCGUAAAACUCCGCCGACGAGUCGAGUUGUUUGGGAAUGCAGCUCUAAGUGGGUGGUAAAUUCCAUCUAAAGCUAAAUACUGGCGAGAGACCGAUAGCGAACAAGUACAGUGAUGGAAAGAUGAAAAGCACUUUGAAAAGAGAGUGAAACAGCACGUGAAAUUGUUGAAAGGGAAGGGUAUGCGAUUAGCGGCCAGCAGGAGGUGCGUUCUCGCGAAAAGGCCGUGCACCGUCUUCGGACACCGUGCGCGGAGAUGGCGAGGGGGCGCCUGAGGUCUGCGACUCGAGGUUGCUGGCGUAAUGAUUGCAUACCACC